UCAGAAUUUAAUGUGCCAGCUUCUAAUUACUAUUUUAUUCAAAGCUUUAAGACACUCGUAUACUAAAUAUGUUGACUGUCUUUUGUUAGCCAAAUGUCAUUUCACAUUACUGUAUUUAUUUUAUUAGGAAAAUCACAUCAGAAGAGCCACUAUUCAUUGAACUUGUAUUACAUACCAGGCAUAUUUGGGGGUUGCUUUAUGUGCAUUUUGUAUUUAUAACUACUACAGAGUGAAAAAUACUAUUCUUCUUAGUUUAUAGAAGAGGAAAAGACUUCUACACACAUAUGCAGCAUCAAUAAAGGGAUAUAGAAGGAAAUAAAAGUGAGAUUUCCUUUACUAAAGUUUGAGAAUGUGUUGAGACCCGGAAUGAAUCCAGGGCUGUGACUUUGCAGCUGAUGUAACUGGACCAGGGCAUGUUCGAUCCUGUCUUUUGUGACUGCCUUAGCCACCAAAUUCAACUGGUCCAGGUUGACCCCCUUCAUUAAGGCUCACCUGACCAGAAGGAUGACCCAAAACUCUUCAGCAGCCCCAUAAAACUCAUUCCCUCUCUGGGCUCAGUUUUUGAAAGA